rnacentral:rRNA from 1 species
UACAGAGGUGGCAAGCGUUGUUCGGAAUUACUGGGCGUAAAGGGCGCGUAGGCGGCACCGCAAGUCGACUGUGAAAUCUCCGGGCUUAACUCGGAAAGGUCAGCCGAUACUGCGGGGCUAGAGUGCAGAAGGGGCAACUGGAAUUCUCGGUGUAGCGGUGAAAUGCGUAGAUAUCGAGAGGAACACCUGCGGCGAAGGCGGGUUGCUGGGCUGACACUGACGCUGAUGCGCGAAAGCUAGGGGAGCGAACGGG